rnacentral:lncRNA from 1 species
GUCAAUUUUGGUUGCUUUCACUUUGCAUUGAAGGCUUAAGCAACUCCCCUCGAGUUGCAUGUUUUGUCUUGUAUUUCAGCUGUCAUUCAGCCUGGUUAAGUUCAGUUCAUUUGCUCCGACAUUGCACUGAUUGCACUCUGAUUUCACCCUACGACACGGACAGCUCCUCUGUGGCCCAAACUCACUGCUGAUGGAUUUGCUAAGUUCAAUUUUGUUGACUAGUGUUUCUGAUUUUCUUUUCCGCUGUUCCGCUGUUCCUCUUUUUGUUUUUUU